rnacentral:rRNA from 1 species
CUACCCGGGUUUCUAAUCCUGUUUGCUCCCCACGCUUUCGUGCCUCAGUGUCAGUGUUGGUCCAGGUAGCUGCCUUCGCCAUGGAUGUUCCUCCUGAUCUCUACGCAUUUCACUGCUACACCAGGAAUUCCGCUACCCUCUACCACACUCUAGUCGCCCAGUAUCCACUGCAGUUCCCAGGUUGAGCCCAGGGCUUUCACAACGGACUUAAACGACCACCUACGCACGCUUUACGCCCAGUAAUUCCGAGUAACGCUUGCACCCUUCGUAUUACCGCGGCUGCUGGCAC